rnacentral:rRNA from 1 species
GACGAACGCUGGCGGCGUGCCUAAUACAUGCAAGUCGAGCGCAGGAAACUGACGGAACUCUUCGGAGGGAAGACAGUGGAAUGAGCGGCGGACGGGUGAGUAACACGUAAGGAACCUGCCUCAAGGAUUGGGAUAACUCCGAGAAAUCGGAGCUAAUACCGGAUAGUUCAACGGACCGCAUGGUCCGCUGAUGAAAGGCGCCCCGGCGUCACCUUGAGAUGGCCUUGCGGUGCAUUAGCUAGUUGGUGGGGUAAUAGCCCACCAAGGCGACGAUGCAUAGCCGACCUGAGAGGGUGAUCGGCCACACUGGGACUGAGACACGGCCCAGACUCCUACGGGAGGCAGCAGUAGGGAAUCUUCCACAAUGGACGAAAGUCUGAUGGAGCAACGCCGCGUGAGUGAUGAAGGUUUUCGGAUCGUAAAACUCUGUUGUAAGGGAAGAACACGUACGAGAGGGAAUGCUCGUACCUUGACGGUACCUUACGAGAAAGCCACGGCUAACUACGUGCCAGCCGCCGCCGUAACAC